ACUGCAGACCGCCUUAUCGUCCGCCUAGGCGGAAGGAAAGUCCGGACACCACAGAGUAGCAUAACGGGUAACACCCGUCCGUUCGCUCAGGCGAAUGAGGACCAGUGCAACAGAAAGUAUGUACAGUUCGGCUGUAGUGAAACCAGGUAAACUCUAUGCGGUGAAAUGCCAUGUAAAUCAACGUUCCGCCCCGGCGGAUAAGGGCUACUCGUCCGAGGUUGAAGGGUAGGCAGCUCGAUUCAAUGGGUAACUAUUGAACUAGAUAAAUGAUAAGGGUUCGUUUUGGCGAAUACAGAAUCCGGCUUAUAGGUCUGCUUUUUUU
rnacentral:RNase_P_RNA from 1 species